rnacentral:rRNA from 1 species
GCGGCGUGCUUAACACAUGCAAGUCGAACGGAAAGGCCCUGCUUUUGUGGGGUGCUCGAGUGGCGAACGGGUGAGUAACACGUGAGUAACCUGCCCUUGACUUUGGGAUAACUUCAGGAAACUGGGGCUAAUACCGGAUAGGAGCUCCUGCUGCAUGGUGGGGGUUGGAAAGUUUCGGCGGUUGGGGAUGGACUCGCGGCUUAUCAGCUUGUUGGUGGGGUAGUGGCUUACCAAGGCUUUGACGGGUAGCCGGCCUGAGAGGGUGACCGGCCACAUUGGGACUGAGAUACGGCCCAGACUCCUACGGGAGGCAGCAGUGGGGAAUAUUGCACAAUGGGCGGAAGCCUGAUGCAGCAACGCCGCGUGCGGGAUGACGGCCUUCGGGUUGUAAACCGCUUUCGCCUGUGACGAAGCGUGAGUGACGGUAAUGGGUAAAGAAGCACCGGCUAACUACGUGCCAGCAGCCGCGGUGAUACGUAGGGUGCGAGCGUUGUCCGGAUUUAUUGGGCGUAAAGGGCUCGUAGGUGGUUGAUCGCGUCGGAAGUGUAAUCUUGGGGCUUAACCCUGAGCGUGCUUUCGAUACGGGUUGACUUGAGGAAGGUAGGGGAGAAUGGAAUUCCUGGUGGAGCGGUGGAAUGCGCAGAUAUCAGGAGGAACACCAGUGGCGAAGGCGGUUCUCUGGGCCUUUCCUGACGCUGAGGAGCGAAAGCGUGGGGAGCGAACAGGCUUAGAUACCCUGGUAGUCCACGCUGUAAACGGUGGGUACUAGGUGUGGGGUCCAUUCCACGGGUUCCGUGCCGUAGCUAACGCUUUAAGUACCCCGCCUGGGGAGUACGGCCGCAAGGCUAAAACUCAAAGGAAUUGACGGGGCCCCGCACAAGCGGCGGAGCAUGUGGAUUAAUUCGAUGCAACGCGUAGAACCUUACCUGGGUUUGACAUGGAUCGGGAGUGCUCAGAGAUGGGUGUGCCUCUUUUGGGGUCGGUUCACAGGUGGUGCAUGGCUGUCGUCAGCUCGUGUCGUGAGAUGUUGGGUUAAGUCCCGCAACGAGCGCAACCCUUGUUCACUGUUGCCAGCACGUUAUGGUGGGGACUCAGUGGAGACCGCCGGGGUCAACUCGGAGGAAGGUGGGGAUGACGUCAAGUCAUCAUGCCCCUUAUGUCCAGGGCUUCACGCAUGCUACAAUGGCUGGUACAGAGAGUGGCGAGCCUGUGAGGGUGAGCGAAUCUCGGAAAGCCGGUCUCAGUUCGGAUUGGGGUCUGCAACUCGACCUCAUGAAGUCGGAGUCGCUAGUAAUCGCAGAUCAGCAACGCUGCGGUGAAUACGUUCCCGGGGCUUGUACACACCGCCCGUCAAGUCAUGAAAGUUGGUAACACCCGAAGCCGGUGGCCUAACCGUUGUGGGGGAGCCGUCGAAGGUGGGACUGGUGAUUAGGACU